rnacentral:rRNA from 1 species
ACGCUCGACACCUACGGAAGGCAGCAGUGGGGAAUAUUGCACAAUGGAGGAAACUCUGAUGCAGCGAUGCCGCGUGAGGGAAGAAGGUUUUCGGAUUGUAAACCUCUGUCUUUGGGGACGAUAAUGACGGUACCCAAGGAGGAAGCUCCGGCUAACUACGUGCCAACAGCCGCGGUAAUCUGAGCGGGCUGGCAAGGC